CCUACGGGCGGCAGCAGUGAGGAAUAUUGGUCAAUGGACGAGAGUCUGAACCAGCCAAGUAGCGUGAAGGAUGACUGCCCUAUGGGUUGUAAACUUCUUUUAUAUGGGAGUAAAGUGUGCCACGUGUGGGAUGUUGUAUGUACCAUAUGAAUAAGGAUCGGCUUACUCCGUGCCAGCAGCCGCGGUAAUACGGAGGAUCCGAGCGUUAUCCGGAUUUAGUGGGUUUAAAGGGGGCGUAGGUGGAUUGGUAAGUCAGUUGUUAAAGUUUGCGGCUCAACCGUAAAAUUGCCGUUGAAACUGGCAGUCUUGAGUACACUAGAGGUGGGCGGAAUUCGUGGUGUAGCGGUGAAAUGCUUAGAUAUCACGCAGAACUCCGAUUGCGAAGGCAGCUCACUGGACUGCAACUGACACUGAGGCUCGAAAGUGUGGGUAUCAAACAGGAUUAGAUACCCGAGUAGUC
rnacentral:rRNA from 1 species